rnacentral:piRNA from 1 species
UGCUAAACAGGUAUCCUGUGGAAUGUGCUU